UACGAAGGGGGCUAGCGUUGUUCGGAAUUACUGGGCGUAAAGCGCACGUAGGCGGAUAUUUAAGUCAGGGGUGAAAUCCCAGAGCUCAACUCUGGAACUGCCUUUGAUACUGGGUAUCUUGAGUAUGGAAGAGGUAAGUGGAAUUGCGAGUGUAGAGGUGAAAUUCGUAGAUAUUCGCAGGAACACCAGUGGCGAAGGCGACUGC
rnacentral:rRNA from 1 species